rnacentral:lncRNA from 1 species
CCCACUGAGCUAUAAUAUUACUGGAGGAGCUGCUCCUAUCUUUCUUCAGUCAAGCAAGUGAAGCCAAAAACAUGGCGGAUCUUACGCCAUUGCCAUGACUACUGGUUCUUAUUUCUCAUGGUAAUUACCACUGACCAACCGCGAUCCUACGCUUUAAACAAUAUCUUUCACCCCCCUGUUUUUUUUUCACAAAUAUGAAAUAUUUUGGUUUAGUUUGUCUUUGAACUGAAAAUCUUGAUAUUUUUCAUCAAUUUUGUCUGUUUUACAAAGUCAAGGAAGACGGUGCAUUUUUGCUGUGCCUGUUAUGGCUCUAAAAGGAGAAUAUUACCGGUAAGAUUCACGAUUUUUUUACUUUCUCGCUUGGCAACGUUGCCAUAUAUUUUUUUAACACUCGUGGAUAUUAAUGAAAUGGAUAUCUCAAAACCUGAUGCUAAUAUUAAAACUGCGAGUAUUACUAGUUACAGCAGUUUUUUCAUUUCUACAUUGACAUUGUAGUUUUAAGCAAGUUUUCCUGGACAAACUCUUUCCUGUCUUGUUUUAUUAAACUCAUUUCUUGGGUUUCAUGGUGCUUCGGUUUGUGUUUUGUUUUUAAAAUUGUUUAUUGAUUUAGGUUUUUUAUUUUUAAGUGCUAGUUUUGCCAGGUUUUUGAAAUAGCAGCUAUCUACUGUGUAGCUUUGUAUUUUAUACAGGACAUGUAGGGUGUGACUGCAGAGCCAACCUUUCCAGCACUCUCCAAAAGUUCAGCAUCAAGCAGUUUAUAUUAUUUAACCCAUUGAGGGCCAGAACGUUUAACUAUAGACACAUGAGCAGAUAGCCUGAUUAAUCCAUUGAGGGCCAGCAUUCUCCCCUUAAUGACAGAGUGAAAUAAUACUCUCCCCUGGCGUUUGACAGAGUGAAAUAAUAAAGUACUAGGGUGCAUCAGGACACAAUGCGACUUACUGUGUUAAACAUGAGUUUUAUGAUUUGUAGCACUACCCACAUUGUAGCACUACCCACUAACCCUUUAAGUGGCAAUGUGCCCAGAUGCACCCUACAUUAUUAUUUUACUCUGUCUAACGCUGGUCAAUUUUACUCGUCACGGGGAAGGUGCUGCCACUCAACAUAUUUAGGUUAAUAUCGAUCUUCGAUUUAGCUGGAAUGACGCAAUACAUGCCAUUUGCUACUGUAAAAUUGUAAAUAUGCCGGAAUUUUUUUUAUCUAGGCACUGUACUGAAAUGUGAAAAAGAAAGCCACCCAAGGUCAAUGUUCAAAUAGCAAGAGUGGUGUUGUAGACAUCAGACAUGUAGUGGUGCACCAUAUGUUAAAAUUAAAUAUUGUCCAACUUACAAAAGUAAGGGCCCUGGCCAGAAUUCCUGCCCUGAACUGGAAAGAUAACUUCAUUUUAUCAUUGCUAUCAGACUGUGAUAAACAGAGAAUCAUGUUAUUGUCAGUGGUGUUUUUAAAUACAAUAUGACUGCCUGCAGUUAUAAUUAUAACUUGUAUGGUUGUAUAAUUUAUAUAGUUUGUAAAACUUUUUCUUGCCGAUUUAUAAUAUUUAUUCUUUUGGGAAGGUAUAAACAAAAUAGUGAAAACCCCUGGUGGUAAUGUAGGGUAAAGGAGGGAGGGUAUCUAUUUAUCUGUGAAUUAAUGAUAAUUUAUUUCAAGCACACAGGGCUGGAUUGACUGGGGGUCUAACAUCCCCAGGUCCAAUCUUUUGAACUGUGUCCCCCAAUUUUUGGAGGGCCACUGGUUUGUCAGUUUUUACUGUUACCCUCCAUAAAUAAUAAUAAAAUGCAGAAAUGCUGGAAUUGCCAAACAUGUGAAUUUUUUGGGAAUGUUGUGCAAAAUUGUGGCCAAUUCUAUAAAGGUUACGCUGAAAAAAAUUUUAAUUAACCUUUUUUG